UACAGAGGUCCCAAGCGUUGUUCGGAUUCACUGGGCGUAAAGGGUGCGUAGGCGGUCGGGUAAGUCUGGUGUGAAAUCCCGCAGCUCAACUGCGGAAUGGCACUGGAUACUAUUCGGCUGGAGGGUUGGGGGGGGACUGGAAUUCUCGGUGUAGCAGUGAAAUGCGUAGAUAUCGAGAGGAACACCAGUGGCGAAGGCGAGUCCCUGGACAACUCCUGACGCUGGGGCACGAAAGCUAGGGGAGCAAACAGG
rnacentral:rRNA from 1 species